AGAUGCGAUCAUACCAGCACUAACGCACCGGAUCCCAUCAGAACUCCAAAGUUAAGCGUGCUUGGGCGAGAGUAGUACUAGGAUGGGUGACUCCCUGGGAAGUCCUCGUGUUGCAUCCC
rnacentral:rRNA from 1 species